UCACUGAUUAGCCCAUGAUGCCAGCCUCCUCCAUCUACUUCUUAGACUUUCAGUCACUCAGUUUCAAGCUUUAUCCUAUGCCAUUCCUUACAUUUGGAAAAAACUCCUUUAGACUUCUGCAAAGCUACCUCAUUAUCUUAAUUCUAAUCCCAUCUGUGAAGUUUUCCUGCCAUUAUGCCUUCAAAAGAAGUUUCAGAGUUUGGACUGCAUUUGUCUAGUUAUAACGAGCAGCCCUCAAAAAAGAUUUCUGGAUCAAAUUCAAAUGGAUCACUCCCAGAAAUAAGAAGGAAUUACCUAUAAAGGAAACUGGAAACUCCAUGGAAUCUCUGUCAGCUUUACCUGCAGAUGGUGCCUCCAAAUCUCUUCUGGAAGGGCUUGUGCAGAGCAGAGUUGUGGCAGCAAGAAAUUUCACAGCGCCAAACAAUGAACCUACUGUCAGGUAAUACCAGGGAGAGAAAUACUAUCACUGAAACCAUGAAGAAAAUCCUGGAAUCUAGCCCUUGAGCAUUGAGGUGCUGCGGUUUAAUUGUGUGAAACUGAGUUUCAAGAUUCAAGAUACUGCUCAGAUUGUUCUGCAAUAAAUUCUUCAGAUUCAGCAACUUCAGCACAAGGGAGCCCAUGGACGUUGAAGUAACCAGAUCUCUGCAGCUAUCACAUGAAAAAGAGUUUCCUUUUUCUGGUUCCUCAGGCUUUUCCCAGCUCUGUUUACAGAAGUCAGUACGAACAGUAACAGGCAUUCACAAAUGUGCUUUAGAGGAACCUUUGGGGAAGGUGUCUCAGAGUGCUUUGUCAUUUGCUGACAAACUGGUGCCAGGACCAGAACUUAAUGAAGUCUUCAGAGAAAAUUUUGUGGCAGAUCAGAGAAUCUCAAAGGUUUUCUGGCAUUCCAGAUAAAUAGGCCAGGGCAAGAGCUUAGAGUUAUUUGCAGUUUAUCUCCCAGUGAUAUCUUUAGUCUUUAAAUCCUAUUGAGCACCUCUGCCAUGCUGCCAAUGCAAAUUACCUUGGACCAUCAGGCAGGAGAGGGCCGAGUUGGUGUGCCGCUGAUUCUCUGUUGCCUUUCACACUCUGGGGCUGAAUUCAUGUCAGCUAGUAGGUGCCAUUCUUUU